UACAGAGGGGCAAGCGUUGUUCGGAAUCACUGGGCGUAAAGGGCGCGUAGGCGGCCUGAUAAGUCGGGGGUGAAAGCCUGUGGCUCAACCACAGAAUUGCCUUCGAUACUGUCGGGCUUGAGACCGGAAGAGGUAAGUGGAACUGCGAGUGUAGAGGUGAAAUUCGUAGAUAUUCGCAAGAACACCAGUGGCGAAGGCGGCUUACUGGUCCGGUUCUGACGCUGAGGCGCGAAAGCGUGGGGAGCAACAGG
rnacentral:rRNA from 1 species